rnacentral:tRNA from 1 species
GUUAGUGUAGCUUAAAAUUAAAAGCGCGGCACUGAAAAUGCCUAGAUAGAUUUUUAAAUAUCUUACAAACA